UACGUAGGGGCAAGCGUUGUCCGGAAUCAUUGGGCGUAAAGCGCGUGUAGGCGGUCCGGUAAGUCCGCUGUGAAAGUCCGGGGCUCAACUCCGGAUCUGCGGUGGGUACGGGCAGACUAGAGUGAUGUAGGGGAGACUGGAAUUCCUGGUGUAGCGGUGAAAUGCGUAGAGAUCGGGAGGAACACCUGUGGCGAAGGCGGCCCCUGGGCCGGCCCUGACACUGAGACGCGAAGGCGUGGGGAGCGAACGGGG
rnacentral:rRNA from 1 species